rnacentral:rRNA from 1 species
GACGAACGCUGGCGGCGUGCCUAAUACAUGCAAGUCGAACGCAGUGGGGACGGGUGAGUUACACGUGGGUCACCUCCCAUCAGAGGGGAUAACACUUGGUAACAGGUGCUAAACCGAUACUGAUGGAUGGACCCGCGGUGCAUUAGCUAGUGGGUGAGGUCACGGCUCACCAAGGCCACGAUGCAUAGCAGACCUGAGAGGGUGAUGGGCCACACCGGUACUGAGACACGGCACAGACGCCUCCGGGAGGCAGCAGUAGGGAAUGUUGGGCAAUGGACGAAAGUCUGACCGAGCAACGCCGGGGGCGUGAAGAAGGGGUUCAGGGCGUACAACUCUGUAGUCUGAGAAGCGGUAUCUAACGAGAAAGCCCCGGCUAACUACGUGCCAGCAGCCGCGGUAAUUC